UCACACACAAACACACACACAGACACUUAUCAGCACAGGUACCAGAAAGCUCCAUGUCCCUUUUACACCAAUUAGCUCUGGAUCCAACAAACAGUAGUAGCAAAGUGGCAGAUUUCAUUGAUUACCUGAGAGCUUUUGUUCUGUUAUUACAGAUUUUUGUUUUUAUCCAAAAAACAAGCAUGGACCAACUAUUAAUUAGACCGCUGUAAGCUAUUUUUUCCCAAUGAUUUCUCAUUUGACUCAUCUAUUGUUGCAUUCAUUAUCCUCUCUUUCCAGUCUGUAGAAUGUGACACACCCACUGAUGUGAUGGUUCACACUUCAGGUUAAGAAAAAUCUGCUAUUUUUUUUUUAACUUUUUGGGUUCCAAACCAAUUUACCUUUGGUCCAAAUCGAAAUCUGAAUGGCUCAAAACUAGGCGUGGCAACCGGAGCGGAGCCCACUCUGUUGGUGGACAAGGGAUAUGUGCGGUAUUUUAGAGGGUGGCACCAUCAGUGUUCUUUUUUGUGUUUUUAAAGUGGAAACUCCAACUCAACUGUUAUCAGAAUGCUGUGACGUAGCUUACAAUGCUUACCCCCUAACUGAUCAGUGGUCAGGGUAGCAACUCUUUGUAUUCUACAAUGCAAAAUGACUGUUUCUGUCAAAAUACUUAACUAACACUACUACUCAUGUUUGAGAGAUUUAGGCCCCCUUGGCCUUCAUCUCCAAAUUGUCCCUCAAAUUAACAUGUGCUGACCAGGAAGAGACUUAAUAUGACCACAAAGACACAUAAAAUGCUCACAAAGAGACACAAAACGAUGACAAAGAAAUGCAAGAGAGCUGCAAAGAGACAAACAGAUGCACCACAACCAGCAAAAAGGGGCAAAACAACCACAAAGAGAUACAAAAUGAUUACAAAGAGGUACUAAAAUGACCACAGAGAGGCUCAAAAUGAAUACAAAGGGAAGUAAAGCAACUUUUUGGAACCGAACUGACAUGGCGUCCACAGCACAACGACAUCAUGCAGAAACCUACAUCAGGUCAUGUUGGAAACAUUUUUUAAAAGGCCUUCGGAUAAUAGCAUUUUGAGGCUGAAACAUACUUCAACCAAAAUUUUAAUUUUCAGAUUUUAAUAAAAAUCUGACUUGACUGAGGUGGUAUCAGAAAAGGCAGUUUGGUAGACAGUAACGCACGCUACCUAGAAAAAAAUGUAACAGGACUCCUCCAGCUGGGUUCCAAGUUGAAUGGCUGUCAGUAAAAGAAGUUAUGUAUUACUAUGUUAUGUAUUUUUGUUUGUGUCUAGGCUACCGGAACGAGCUGGCCUUCCGUAAAAAUGAUGGAUCUUUUGUUGUUUGGGCCAAUCGCCAAAGUAGCACCUGG